rfam:Pseudomonas sp. 5 contig15, whole genome shotgun sequence.
UCGGCCACCAAGGGGAGCCCGGCAACGGGCUGAGAAACCGCUAGCAGCUGCAGCGCGGUGACCCUUCGAACCUGAUCCGGAUCAUGCCGGCGAAGGGAUGGGGAUUGCCAACCUG